rnacentral:misc_RNA from 1 species
AACGCACCUUGCACCGUAUGAGCAAUUGUACGGUAUACCUGUUUGAGAAUCGUAAAACCCUCUCUCAACUAACCUUUCCUCUCGAGGAUGGGGUUAGUCGAGGAUGUGUCUGUUCGUUUCCUCAACGUCGGAUCAAAUCAAGUAGGUUUGGAUCAGGCUGGUGGCCUGAGACACUAUGUGAUAGAGACUAAGAGUAGAUUCGAGUGCUUGCCUCACGGCGGUACAAGAUGAAGCCUCUGUGUCUUCUCAUGGUGCGUCUCAAGUCAUUCAAAGCUGGCCUGGUCAAUCAAUCCUUAACUGCGCUAAUCCUGGCUUAAAAACCCGGCGAUUAGGCAACCCCCCCUUUUGAUCUCAAAUCAGGUAAGGCUACCCGCUGAACUUAA